AACAGGUACAACUCUAACCAUCUGGAAGUUUCUCAGGCAAUCAACAAACAAGCUGGUAAUUUCAUGAUUGAUCGCUUUCGGCCUACUGUGAAGGCAAUGAUAUGCAAAACACAAGUGGUCUCUCUGGCUGAGAAAAGGGAGAUACAUACAUGAGAUGCUCCUCUCCUCUCACAAGAUAAGAUAUCGGGCUUGAUUUGCGUCCAUCUGCUACCAGAAAUAUACCAAUCAAAGGGAUGCAUUAUGACAUUUCAUAUUCAAGAUCAGUUUUGUUUCAAGUAUUAACCCGUCUUUCUUCAAACCAUGUUCUAUAAAAGCAAUAGUAUUAUUCAAUUCAAGUUCCUUGGCUAAUCUUGAUCUACAC
rnacentral:lncRNA from 1 species